UGGCCUCGCACCUCCAUAUUCUGCUU
rnacentral:piRNA from 1 species